AUUCCUUAGAGCAUUUGGAUUUCCCCUGUAGCGGUUAGCAUAGUGCCUUGCCCGUGGUGAACAUUCUGAUCCACCAAUAGUUUUUCUAUUGGAAUCUUUCAGAGCUUUCAGGAAGCUAGAACAGUCGCUUCUGCUGUUACUAAAGUUUCCCCCGCAAUCUGGCUUUCAGUCUCAUCCUUGAGUUCACUUACAUUGAAGAGCAGAGAAGGCACUGGUGUGAACCGCUCAACAUGGAUCAUGCAGAUGGCAUCAGGGAGAUGGCCUUCUCUUGAGCCCACAAAGAAAAGCCUAUGUUAGGUAAGAUAGGAGAAGCUGAGAAAAUUGGUGGACACGGUGCAGCCUGGUUCACCUGCCACAUGGCCCUCCCUCUCUGCCAUCCCUUCCUUCAAAAGUAUUUGGAUAAUAUGGACUGGAGCUCAGUAUUAAGAUUAAUGACAACUGCAGGCUUCUGCUAGAAACAAGAAGAAAGAGGUUGUGGUAUCGGUUGGAGAACACAAGUAAUCAAAGGCUGGGUCCUGUAAGUUCUGUCCACUGCAUAGCCCUUUGAUGAUACACCCCUCACAAAAGUUGCCACUCUUACCUAGAAGCAGCCACAAUGGAGGCAUUGAGGCCACCAAAACAGGAUAAUGCAACUGACAGUGGAAUUAUCCAGUUAAAUAUUCCAAAUAUCUGAUCUGCAAAAGUCUAAGGGAAAAGAAUGGAAGAGUCAUUAGCAGGAUCUAAAAGGGAUGAAAGACAUGGAUGGGCAUGCCCCCAGAUUCCCCUUAUUAGGUAUUCCAACCUUUCUUCCACAGUGGGGUUAACAGGACCUUCUUGCAAGCCCGGUAUUCUAAAUGAACUCCUUUCAAGGCUGUCUACCCCCUUUCCAGGACUUUCAAGAGCCAGAAUAUACCCAGUACCCCACAAGACACCCUCAACCUUCUGCUAGUGAAAAUCCUUUACCACAGCAACAGCAUCACUGGCCAAGAUGUCUCUCAUGUCUAGCACAGUAUAAUAGGCCACAUUGGUCAAGAUAUAGAUGAUGGUGACAAUGGGCAUGGAGAUGCCAAUGGAGAGGGGCAGGUUCCUACAGCCAAAUAGAAUAAAAUGCACAUUAGUCCCACAGUCAUAUCCCUAUCUCUCCUUUAAUCCUUAGACUCUCCCUGCCACACCGGUCUUUCCAGGGAUGGAGACUGUUGCUACAUUUCCUCAAUGCAUUUGUCUUUGACGGUGCCCUGGAUAGUGGCUGAAGCUCUGAACACUUAAGAACUAAAGAACAUUAGGGG
rnacentral:lncRNA from 1 species